rnacentral:rRNA from 1 species
CCUACGGGAGGCAGCAGUGAGGAAUAUUGGUCAAUGGGUGCGAGCCUGAACCAGCCAAGUCGCGUGAGGGAAGACGGACCUAUGGAUUGUAAACCUCUUUUGUCGGGGAGCAAAAGACGCCACGCGUGGCGUUCCGAGAGUACCCGAAGAAAAAGCAUCGGCUAACUCCGUGCCCGCAGCCGCGGUAAUACGGAGGAUGCGAGCGUUAUCCGGAUUUAUUGGGUUUAAAGGGUGCGCAGGCGGAAGAUCAAGUCAGCGGUAAAAUUGAGAGGCUCAACCUCUUCGAGCCGUUGAAACUGGUUUUCUUGAGUGAGUGAGAAGUAUGCGGAAUGCGUGGUGUAGCGGUGAAAUGCAUAGAUAUCACGCAGAACUCCGAUUGCGAAGGCAGCAUACCGGCGCUCAACUGACGCUCAUGCACGAAAGUGUGGGUAUCGAACAGGAUUAGAUACCCUGGUAGUC